UUUCCACAUUUAAUCUUGUGAAACUUUGUAUAAAUGUGAGAAAAUUUUUAGAUUUAGUAGUGGAGAUUACUUUUGAGUUUAUUGAAAGAUAUUUCAACCACUUAAUUGUAUGUUGAGAAAUUAUGCACGGUGGGUUAAUGGAUGGAGACAACUCUUUUCUCUCUACAAUGUUUUCUACUUAAUUUUAUAUUAAUGACAGUCGCAGGAAUUGAAAUAUAACGCAACGAAACUGCACAGAAUGUCAGCAAUGGCGGCUAUUAGAUUAUUGACAGUGAUUAGUUUGAAAAUAACACAAUUUUGCACAGAAAGUCAGCAAUGGCAGCUAUUAGAUUAAUGACAGUGAUUACUGGUUAGUAUGAAGUAUAUGAAUUAUUGACAUAGAGCCUAACAAAAGUGCUUGGAACUUCACUCUGGUUUUUUUGACGUCUAUGUGCAAGUUCUUGAUCCAACGGAUAAGAAUGCUUAAAUUUUUGUGCAAUUACACAUCAACCUGCAAGCUGACUUUUAGAUCAGCAAAAUCUCUAUGCCUCCUUUCUCCAACAGCCUCAUCUCUGUUGUUUCCACAUUCAAGUGUUUAUUCUCAUAUAUGCUUUGAACAACUCCAUUGUAUAUGUUGCAGAAAGCCAAUAGUUGCAAAUCAUAAUCACAUGUUGUUUAGUUUGAGUUAUUGAAUAAUAUGUUAAGAAAGUGCUUGGAACUUUUCUGGAGUUUCUUCUUUUUUAUCUUUGCAUGCCACCAAGAGUAUUGUCCCGAGAUAAGAAGUUCCUAAUUUUUGUGGAAAUCUUUUGAGAAAUGGACUUCUUGGAGAAUUACUAUGGGACAGGAAUUUAGCUAUCCAUACUCCAACUAUAGGUGCUUUUUACAAAGAGAGGCUCUGCAGUACAAAAGUCCUUGUUGUUCUUGACGACGUGAACCAUUCAAGCCAAUUAACAUUUUUACUUGGAGAAGUUUCAUUUGGAACAACUCGAGAUCUAGUGAAGGAAGUAGCUGGCCAUGAUGUUAAGAUAUACGAGGUGGAGGAAUUAAAUGGUGUUGAGUCUCUUCAGCUCUUCCAUUCAAAUGCUCGCACACAUUCUACAGAAAAUCCAGAACUUUUAGAGCAGGUGGCAGAUCAUGCUGCAGGAGUUCCAUUAGCCCUUAAAAUUUUGAGUUCAUUAUUCCUUCAAUGCCAGAGCAAAGAAGAACAGGAACUUUUGUGGAGAAAUUGAAAAGGUUUCCUGAUGAUGACCUUCAAAAUGUGUACGGAGCAAGUUUUGAUGGAUUAAAAGGAAAUGAGAAGGAGAUAUUCCUUGAUAUAGCAUGUUUUCACAAAAAGGAGAAACUCUGUGAUGCAAAAAGAAUGUUAGCUGCCUGUGGUUUAUUUCCGGAUGUUGGAAUUAAAAUUCUCACUGAUAUGUUUCUCAUAUCAAUUAAAGACAACUGCAUACGGAUGCACGAUGUGAUCCAAGAAAUGGGUUGGGAGAUAGUCCGAGAAGAAUGUACUGAAGAGCCAGGAAAACGCAGUAGGUUGCACAAUGGUGAGGACGGCUGUCAUGUAUUGAAAAGGAAAAUGGGAACUGCCAAAGUACAAAGCAUUUCCAGCAGGAAUUGUGUUAACACAGUAAUGUUGGAUCCUCAACCAACAUCUUGAUGACAAGGCAAAUCUAGAGUAUCUGCCUGAUGCCCUUCAAUAUCUUUUUUGGCAUAGUUGCCCUUUGAAAUCUUUUCCAUCAAAGUUUUCUCCAAACAAUCUUGUUGAGCUUCAUAUGUCCUAUAGCAAACUCAAGAGAAUUUGGAAUAAAGGCCAGAAUCCUGAUAAGUUGAAAAGGAUCGAUCUUAGUUUCUCCAUUUUCCUGGCCGAUGUUGGAGAGCUGUCAAAUAGUGUAAACAUUGAGAGUAUAAAUCUUCUAGGCUGUAGUAGUUUGGUUCAAGUUCCGGAUUUGUCAAAGUGUGUAUACAUUAAGAGUAUAAAUCUCCUAGGCUGUGCAAGUUUGGUUCAAGUUCCAGACCUGUCAAAGUGUAAACAUUGAGAGUAUAAAUCUUCAAAGCUGCGCAGAUUUGGUUCAAGUUCCUUCAUACUUUCAAAAGUUUACCAAGCUUACUUAUCUGAAUUUGGGAUGUUGCUCGAAGAUUAGUGUUCUACCAAAGUUACCAAGCAAGAUGGAGUUCUUAGAUUUAAGUGAAACUGCAGUAGCAGAAUUGCCUCCAUCAAUUUGUUCUCUUGAAAAACUUCUUAAAUUGAAUCUUCAUGGAUGCAGUUCCAUUAAAUAUCUUUCGAGCAGUCCAUGGAAGAUGAAAUCCCUGAAUUAUCUUUCUUUGAGCAAGACAUAUAUAGAAACGGUGCCCUCGUCAUCGUUCAAGUGUAUGAUUGGGCUCAUUUCAGUUGACCUGAGUGAUUGUCAUUGCCUCGUCAGUCUCCCAACCGACAUUUGUGAGUUGAAAUCUCUUCAGAGACUUGAUCUCUCUCGUUGCUGUUGUUUCACAAAAUUUCAAAAUUGUGGAGCCUAUGGAACAUCUGCAGUAUCUUAAUUUAAGAGAGACGAAAAUUGAAGAGCUGCCGUCAUUGGUUGGGAAUCUUGUUGGGCUUAAGACAUUAGAUUUAUCUCACUGCACAAGCCUUGAAUUACUCCCAAACAGCUUCUACAAUUUAAACCUUCUGGAGUGGUUCUCACUUGAACGCUGUUACAAGCUAAACAAAUUGCCUCUCUCGUUCAUUUUGUGCUCUUUGGUAAAUCUAAACCUCGGAAGCUGCAAAUUGUUGAAGAGAUUCCCGAUUGCUUUACUAGCUUUCCCGCACUGCAAGUGUUAGAUCUAAGUCACACCAUGAUUGAGACCAUACCUCCCAGCAUCAAACAAGUUUCAAGGCUCAAGCAUCUGUUCCUAGAUGGUUGCGAGUGGCUUCAAUCUUUGCCAGUGCUCCCAUGUCUUCUGAAAAAUUUGGGUGCAAGUGUACGAGACUUAAGACUGUGUCGGUUUCAGUGACUGCACAGACAGAAGGUUUGGAUCAAAUAGUUUCUGAGAAAAAGAGGACCGAGAGACGUACAUAUUAUGGUUGCGAUAGUUUGUAUAAAAAUGCAAGGAGUAACAUAAUGGAUGAUGCACACUUCAGAAUUAUGCGAAUGGCAGCUGCUUGUAAUCUUAAACGUUUAUCAUCUGGUAAAGUAGAGUUAAUGUGUCCGGGACUAAAUGAAAUUCCGAAAUGGUUUAGCUGUCAAAUGGAGGGAUAUUCAAUGAAUAUUAAGCUUCCUCUAUAUUGGUCUGAUGAUUCAAACUUCUUGGGUAUUGCUCUCUGCUCCAUUUCUGCAAUCCAUGAAGAUCUCCAUCAUCCUGAGUAUCAAUGUGAGAUGAUUCUCAAAACCAACAAUGGUGAAACCCAUAGUGUCAAUUUGGGAAGUAGCGAGCGCUUCGAGACUAUGGACCUUAAGGGUGAAACAGAUCACGUGUUUGUGUGGUAUAAUAAUAGUCCAUGAAAUUUCAGAUGAAGCAAAAUGGUCUUUGGAAGCCUCUUUUGACUUCUAUAUAGAACAGAAUCGUGAACGGUCAAAUAACGUGAAAAGGUGUGGGGUCUGCUUUCUGUAUGCCCAAGGCCAAGAUGAUGAUGCUCUGAAAUCUGAAGUCAUUCGUCCACAACAACUUACUACAACUAGGAGACGCCGCGGCCGCUUUGAGGAUUAUGCUAGUGGAAGUCAACUGUUUUGUCACUGCUUUGAGGAUGAUGCUGGAAGUGAAACUUAUGGUGAGUAUGAUAGUGUCAAUAUUCAAACAGUUCCCUCAUCAUCAUUCAUGUGUAUGACUAGGAUCAUUUCACUUGACCUGAGUCUCAGCCUCCCAACCGACAUUUGUAAGUUGAAAUCUCUCGAGAGACUUAAUCUCUGGUUGCCGUAGAUUCACAAAAUUUCCGGAAAUUGUGGAGCCUAUGGAACAUCUUCAGUAUCUUAAUUUAAGUCCGACGAACAUUAAAAAGCUACCCUCAUCGAUUGGGAAUCUUGUUGGGCCUAAGAUACUAAUUUUAACUUCCUGCAAAAGCCUUGAAUUACUCCCAGAUAGCUUCUACAAUUUAAAUCUUCUCAAGUGGUUCUCACUUGAGGGCUGUGUCAAGCUAGAAAAAUUGCCCGUCUCCUUCAUUUUGCGCUCUUUGAUAAAUCUGAGCCUCAGAGGCUGCAUAUUGUUAGAAGAAAUUCCUGAUUGCUUCAAUAGCUUUCCCACAUUGCAAGUCUUGGAUUUCAGUGAAACCAUGAUUGAGACCAUACCUCCCAGCAUCAAACAAGUUUUUGGGCUCAAGUCUCUGCUACUAGAUCAGUGCAAGCGGCUUCAAUCUUUGCCAGUGCUCCCAUGUCUUCUAGAAGAGUUUGAUACAGGAGAGUGCUGGAGACUUAAGACAGUGCCAGUUUCAGUGACUGCACAGACACAAGGUCUAGAUCAAGUACUGUCUGGGAAGAGGUACGAGAUUCAUUCAUUUGUUGGUUGCGUUAAUUUGGAUAACAAUUCAAGGAGCAACAUAAUGGAUGAUGCACACAUCAGAAAUUCAGAAUUAUGCGAAUAGCAACUGCUUGUAAUCUUAAACGUUUAUCAUUUGGUAAAGUAGAGGUAAUAUGUCCGGGAAAUGAAAUUCCAAAAUGGUUUAGCUGUCAAACGGAGGGACCUUUAAUGAAUAUUAAGCUUCCUCUGCAUUGGUCUGAAUGUCUGAAGAUUCAAACUUCUUGGGUAUUGCUCUCUGCUCUAUUGCUGCAAUCCAUGAAGAUCUCCAUCAUCCCAAGUAUCAAUGUGAGAUGAUUCUCAAAACCAACAAUGGUGAAACCCAUAGUGUCAAUUUGGGAAGUAAAGCGCGCUUCAGAACUAUGGAG